rnacentral:rRNA from 1 species
UCACCAGACUCCUACGGGAGGCAGCAGGGGGGAAUAUUGGACAAUGGGGGGAACCCUGAUCCAGCGACGCCGCGUGAGUGAAGAAGUAUUUCGGUAUGUAAAGCUCUAUCAGCAGGGAAGAAAGAAAUGACGGUACCUGACUAAGAAGCCCCGGCUAACUACGUGCCAGCAGCCACGGUAAUACGUAGGGGGCAAGCGUUAUCCGGAUUUACUGGGUGUAAAGGGAGCGUAGACGGCGAUGCAAGUCUGAAGUGAAAGGCGGGGGCCCAACCCCCGGACUGCUUUGGAAACUGUAUAGCUGGAGUGCAGGAGAGGUAAGUGGAAUUCCUAGUGUAGCGGUGAAAUGCGUAGAUAUUAGGAGGAACACCAGUGGCGAAGGAGGCUUACUGGACUGUAACUGACGUUGAGGCUCGAAAGCGUGGGGAGCAACCAGGAUUAGAUACCCCCGUAA